UUGUUACUCCAUCCAUCCGUAAUUACUUGUCACGGAAAUGAAUAGAAACAAAUGUAUUUAGAACUAUAAUACAUCUAAAUACAUUUAUUUUUUUAACAAGUAAUUUCGAACGGAGAGAGUAUUUA
rfam:Hordeum vulgare subsp. vulgare, WGS project CAJW01000000 data, contig: morex_contig_1574072